rnacentral:rRNA from 1 species
CGUAGAGUUGUAUCUCGGCGUCAGGAUGAAACGCUGGCGGCGUGCCUAAUACAUGCAAGUCGAGCGAACAGAUGAGAAGCUUGCUUCUCUGAUGUUAGCGGCGGACGGGUGAGUAACACGUGGGUAACCUACCUAUAAGACUGGGGAUAACUCCGGGAAACCGGGGGCUAAUACCGGAUAAUAUAUUGAACCGCAUGGUUCAAUGUUGGAAGACGGUUUCGGCUGUCACUUAUAGAUGGACCCGCGCCGUAUUAGCUAGUUGGUAAGGUAACGGCUUACCAAGGCAACGAUACGUAGCCGACCUGAGAGGGUGAUCGGCCACACUGGAACUGAGACACGGUCCAGACUCCUACGGGAGGCAGCAGUAGGGAAUCUUCCGCAAUGGGCGAAAGCCUGACGGAGCAACGCCGCGUGAGUGAUGAAGGUCUUAAGAUCGUAAAACUCUGUUGUUAGGGAAGAACAAAUUUGUCAGUAACUGAACAAGUCUUGACGGUACCUAACCAGAAAGCCACGGCUAACCACGUG